AAAAAAACCAAGGUAAGACGCAUGGACCGGAUGCUCGGACGCUCGGACCAGUCCUAACCAUGUUCGGACGUUCGGACCAGUUCUAACCGUUCACCUGCAACAGUUGUCACAUCAAAACUUGUCCCCAGGAGGAAGGAAGCAUUCUCAGCCAAGGGGAUGGAGUAGGGCGCUGAGCUUCUGCCAACCAUGGAAAGGCCAGCCCUUUGGUUCUCACAUCUGAAGAAAACACCACGAAGGUCCCCUGAAAACUGUCCCAUCGGGCUUCCAUCUCACAUCCCGUGAGCUGACGUCUCCCUCUCUUCCUAGCUGUAAUCUCUUUUUAAAAAGAAAUUGCCCAGACCCCUUUGCAUCGAUAUUCUCUUUUGAACAAAACUGUGUAAAUGGAGGUCCCAUGAUUAAUGUUUUGAGACCUACAACAUUUUAAGACAUUUAUGGGGAAAAACUUCUUUCCAAAUGACUUAACGUAGGAGUCCCUUAAGUAUGCUCUUAGACUGACGUUUCUUAAAUCGUGUGUGAACCUCGUUUAUGAGUGGAAAUUUAAUAACCACUGACUCAUAGCUAGAUAAAAGGGACAUGUCUGAGCUGGGCAGCUUAAUGACACAUUCAAACCAGGGGUUCCACGACGGUGCAGAUGUCACACGCACAGAAUCUGUCCGAUAGCGGUUGCACAAGUCAAGAUUAAAGUGAAAGUCUGAACUGAAGCUUGAGGGUGUGGCUGCGGAUAGCAGCGAGGUGCACAAGUGAAAACAGGCAACCAGAGAGAUGUUUCAGGAGAGGCUCUGAGAACAUCUUCCCACAGCGCUCCAAGCAAGGAGGACACCUGUUACCGAGAUCUGGGACACAGGCAUCGAGUUUCUUUCUUUAUCUAUUGGUUCAAGGAAAAGCCAUAGGCUCCGCAGUUAAGUGGUAUAACCAGCAGUCUGACUCCAUCUGCCUUUUCUGAGAACCUGCUGCCAUGGACUCCGGCAUGCUGCCUGCCCGAGAGUCUCACCCCCUCAGCCUGUUUACAGCACUGCGGCUGGGAAAAAGCAAACCUCACACUUCCCUGUGCCUGGAGUUCUUCCACCCACCACUCGCAGUAAAACUCCUCCUCGGGGCAGACAAACCUUGUUAAGAUCUAGUCCCCAACAUGGGUUUGGCUUCAUUCCCUGCCACCCUCCAUACGCCCCAAUCUCUGCCAAAUCCAGUUCCAUGCCAGCCGCUCUCUGCAGGGCCACGAGGA
rnacentral:lncRNA from 1 species